rnacentral:sRNA from 1 species
GCCGGGCAUGGUGGCACAAGCCUGUAACCCCAGCAGCUUGGGAGGCUGAGACAGGAGGAUUGCAAGUUCAAAGCCAGCCUCAGCAACAGUGAGACACUAAGCAGCUCAGUGAGACCCUGUCUCUA